AUGGAGCCGACCUUGAAAUACCACCCUUUAAUGUUUGAUGUUCUAACGUGGACCCGUUACCCGGGUUGCGGACAGUGUCUGGUGGGUAGUUUGACUGGGGCGGUCUCCUCCUAAAGAGUAACGGAGGAGCACGAAGGUUGGCUAAUCCUGGUCGGACAUCAGGAGGUUAGUGCAAUGGCAUAAGCCAGCUUGACUGCGAGCGUGACGGCGCGAGCAGGUGCGAAAGCAGGUCAUAGUGAUCCGGUGGUUCUGAAUGGAAGGGCCAUCGCUCAACGGAUAAAAGGUACUCCGGGGAUAACAGGCUGAUACCGCCCAAGAGUUCAUAUCGACGGCGGUGUUUGGCACCUCGAUGUCGGCUCAUCACAUCCUGGGGCUGAAGUAGGUCCCAAGGGUAUGGCUGUUCGCCAUUUAAAGUGGUACGCGAGCUGGGUUUAGAACGUCGUGAGACAGUUCGGUCCCUAUCUGCCGUGGGCGCUGGAGAACUGAGGGGGGCUGCUCCUAGUACGAGAGGACCGGAGUGGACGCAUCACUGGUGUUCGGGUUGUCAUGCCAAUGGCACUGCCCGGUAGCUAAAUGCGGAAGAGAUAAGUGCUGAAAGCAUCUAAGCACGAAACUUGCCCCGAGAUGAGUUCUCCCUGAGACUUAGAGUCUCCUGAAGGAACGUUGAAGACGACGACGUUGAUAGGCCGGGUGUGUAAGCGCAGCGAUGCGUUGAGCUAACCGGUACUAAUGAACCGUGAGGCUUAACCUUACA
rnacentral:rRNA from 1 species